AUUGAACGCUGGCGGCAUGCUUUACACAUGCAAGUCGGACGGCAGCGGGGUAGUGCUUGCACUACUGCCGGCGAGUGGCGAACGGGUGAGUAAUAUAUUGGAACGUACCGAGUAAUGGGGGGUAACCAAUCGAAAGAUUGGCUAAUACCGCAUACGCUCUGAGGAGGAAAGCAGGGGACCUUCGGGCCUUGCGUUAUUCGAGCGGCCAAUAUCUGAUUAGCUAGUUGGUGGGGUAAGGGCCUACCAAGGCGACGAUCAGUAGCGGGUCUGAGAGGAUGAUCCGCCACACUGGGACUGAGACACGGCCCAGACUCCUACGGGAGGCAGCAGUGGGGAAUUUUGGACAAUGGGCGCAAGCCUGAUCCAGCCAUGCCGCGUGUCUGAAGAAGGCCUUCGGGUUGUAAAGGACUUUUGUUAGGGAAGAAAAAGGAGCGGUUAAUACCCGUUUCUGCUGACGGUACCUAAAGAAUAAGCACCGGCUAACUACGUG
rnacentral:rRNA from 1 species